rnacentral:lncRNA from 1 species
GCUGAGAAAACAUGGAACGAUUUUUUACAACAUCUCUCUCCACUCUGCCGCAAAUUAAGUUCGAGGACAUCAACCGAAUUGAUGCAGAAAAUUCUUUAACCACGGGGUCAAGACUGAAGAAGGGAUAUAAAUUCUUUGUUGAAGAAUUUAUUCAUGGGUAUCAAGAUGUUUUUGGAGUCUCAUGGAGAGCCUAGUGUCACUGCUUAUGCAUGUAGUUGUGCAGCUGGCAAAGGGUUAUGUAACCAUCUAACAGCUCUGUUGUAUCAAACAGCCCACUAUGUGCAGCUUCAUCUAAAAUCUGUCCCACCAACAGUGGCUUGCACAAGUGAACAACAGAGAUGGCAUCGUCCAAGGACACAGGGUGUCAGUCCAGAGGCAGUGGGUCAACUUGUAGUUCAGAAACCAUGUUCUUUGGGGAAGACAGGAGUAAAGUCUACACUGUACAAAGCUCACACAGGUCCACUUCCAGAUCCACACAUCCUGGCUUCUGGAGCAAAACUAAACCAGAUUGACCCAAAACCUUUGUUGGCUCAUAUACUUGGAGGCAUGUCAGAAAUGGAGUUGGUCAGCUCGCAGUUUGGUCCAUUACCCCGGGGCAGUCCUCUUUCGUACCACUAUCCUCUCACAGCUGCUGAUCAACCUACAGUUGAUUUCCCCAACCUGCCAGUGUGUGGCAGUCAGUUUAGUACAAACCUAAAUUUUGUUCCCACUCACCACCAAUCUUUUCAUUUGCAGUCAAUACAAGUGUCACACAUCUUAUCCGGUCAGAUUGAGCACAAUACUCGACUACAGUCAAAUUGUGCUGCCUGGGCACAUGCGCGUCAACCAAGAGUCACCGCAAGCAGGUUUAGAGAAGUCUGCUAUG